GAUGAACGCUGGCGGCGUGCCUAAUACAUGCAAGUCGAGCGAACAGAUAAGGAGCUUGCUCCUUUGACGUUAGCGGCGGACGGGUGAGUAACACGUGGAUAACCUACCUAUAAGGCUGGGAUAACUUCGGGAAACCGGAGCUAAUACCGGAUAACAUAUUGAACCGCAUGGUUCAAUAGUGAAAGGCGGCUUUGCUGUCACUUAUAGAUGGAUCCGCGCCGUAUUAGCUAGUUGGUAAGGUAACGGCUUACCAAGGCAACGAUACGUAGCCGACCUGAGAGGGUGAUCGGCCACACUGGGACUGAGACACGGUCCAGACUCCUACGGGAGGCAGCAGUAGGGAAUCUUCCGCAAUGGGCGAAAGCCUGACGGAGCAACGCCGCGUGAGUGAUGAAGGUCUUCGGAUCGUAAAACUCUGUUAUCAGGGAAGAACAAAUGUGUAAGUAACUGUGCACAUCUUGACGGUACCUGAUCAGAAAGCCACGGCUAACUACGUGCCAGCAGCCGCAGUAA
rnacentral:rRNA from 1 species